UGUAUCAGAGACAGUGCUACUGCUGCUGCUGGAACCGCCAUAGCCACUUUGGUUUCAUGGUUUGGCAAAGUAUUGGCCUUCACCACCAUAGGGACCAGAGAUUCUGCCUCCAAAAUUUCCUCCUUUCAUGGGUCCAAAAUUUGAAGAUUGAUUGUGGUAACUGCCAAAAUCAUCAUAGCUUCCACCACCUCCAAAGUUGCUUCCAUCAUUACCAAAUCCGUUAUAGCCAUCCCCACUGCCACCAUGUCCACCACACCUCAACUGCCACCAAAGCCACCUCGCCCAAUUAAGUUUCCUCCAUGGCCAAAGUUGUCAUUCCCACCAAAACCACCGCCACGACCACCACCGAAGUUCCCAGGACCACUUCGACCUCUUUGGCUGGAGGAAGCACUAGCCAUCUCUUGCUUAGAUAAAGCUUUCCUUACUUCACAGUUGCGGC